GUCCCUGUAGGGCAAUGGAUAGCCCGUUUUGGACAUUUAAUCCAAAGGUCGUGAGUUCGGAUCCCACCUGGAAUG